AGGAAAAGAAACCAACAGGGAUUGCCUUAGUAGCGGCGAGUGAAGCGGCAAAAGCUCAAAUUUGAAAUCUGGCGCCUUCGGUGUCCGAGUUGUAAUUUGAAGAUUGUAACCUUGGGGUUGGCUCUUGUCUAUGUUUCUUGGAACAGGACGUCACAGAGGGUGAGAAUCCCGUGCGAUGAGAUGCCCAAUUCUAUGUAAGGUGCUUUCGAAGAGUCGAGUUGUUUGGGAAUGCAGCUCUAAGUGGGUGGUAAAUUCCAUCUAAAGCUAAAUAUUGGCGAGAGACCGAUAGCGAACAAGUACAGUGAUGGAAAGAUGAAAAGAACUUUGAAAAGAGAGUGAAAAAGUACGUGAAAUUGUUGAAAGGGAAGGGUUUGAGAUCAGACUCGAUAUUUUGUGAGCCUUGCCUUCGUGGCGGGGUGACCCGCAGCUUAUCGGGCCAGCAUCGGUUUGGGCGGUAGGAUAAUGGCGUAGGAAUGUGACUUUACUUCGGUGAAGUGUUAUAGCCUGCGUUGAUGCUGCCUGCCUAGACCGAGGACUGCGAUUUUAUCAAGGAUGCUGGCAUAAUGAUCCCAAACCGCCCGUCUUG
rnacentral:rRNA from 1 species